UUGUACACUAGUGGUAUGUAACUCGGUCGAGUCUAGGAGUAAAUAAAGUUGCUAAGUUGAGUAAUUACAAGAUUAACUCGUGUCCCUAAGUAGUAGAUUGUGAACAGUGUUUUUUUGUUUAUUAAAAAAAGAAGAAAAUCUCGAAAAAGGAAGGAGAUAAGAAAAAACCCAAUCUCCAAGAAAAAAGAAGAAAAAUACAAAAACAAAGACUGAAAAGGUCUCGAGUUAGUAGAAUAAACAAGAACAAAAAAGCU
rnacentral:lncRNA from 1 species